AGUUGGGUCAAUGUGAGACGACUUGUAAGUUGUGGGAGUUGACAUGAUACAAUAGGAGUGAAAGGGUGAAAGUGUUAUUUGUGCUAUAUAAGUCAAAAAAAAAAAAGGGGAGCAGGAGAUUUUUGUUUUUUCUCUUUUCCUUUCCUUUCUUUUCUUCUUCUCCGGCGUCUCUCUUGGCUCUCACCUCUCUCACCUUCUCUCUUCGAUUUCAUCGACCACAAGUGAGACUUUUGAAAAAUCCCAAGUACUAAAGUUGUUCUACGCGACGAGAGCUUCCCAUCCAUCGAAGAAAAUUCACGAUCAGAGCACUUCGAAGUUUCCUCCAUGUUCGGGCUUGCUUCUAACCCUCGAGGUACUCGUCAUGACACUUAGCUUGGAUUGCAUGGAGUGCACAUUAAGACUUUACUUGAGAGCUUCAUUGGAAUCUUUAAGGAGUGGUUUAUCAUCAAGUUUACUUCAUGUCAUGUACUUUACUUGCAAUUGAAGGUUAUACCUUGUAAUUAGAUCAUAUGUAAAGCUAUGUAUAAAGUCCUCUUAUUGAUUAUUAUGAAACCCCUUUAAUUGUAAACGUUUGGGAGACUUUAUGUAAGAAAAAAAAAUUUAGAGAGAA